UCAUAAGGAGGGAAGUGAAGGAUUGGGAGGAGGAAGCGAUUGCCACUGCUCGAUUCAAGGCGUUUAGCGGACAAAGAUCUGACUGGGAGGCAAGGUACCAGUUUUGGAGAGAUUUGAUUCUGAAGGUGGCUCGCCAUUUCCACCUUCUCUUCAUUUCGCCUUCCCAGGUGAAGAAGGAUUGGUUUAAUCGAGGAGGAUUGACCCUUUGUGCCUUGACCAUGUUCUGUUUUUGAUGUAUAAUGAAGGUGAUAUUAUACGAAGUGUGGAUCUUGUGGACCCAACUAGUGGACGGCUUUCCCAGCUUUUUAGGAAAGUAAAACAUAUGAUGGUUAGAUCAACAUCUGCAGAAGUUAUGUUUGAAGAUCAUCUCAUUCUUCUUCCACUGUUGAAGGUAUGUAUAUGUCUUUUAAUUACCAAAAAGAGAGAAUUAAUUAUUCCUCUAUCUAAAAAACUUAUAACCCAUGUUAGUAACCACAAACUAGAAGUUUGGGUCUCUACAAAAUUGGUUUCACCAUUGACAUCUCAAAUGUUAAGCCUAUUAGGAAAAAAAAGGGCAUAUCAAAUGCUAAAUUUAACAUUUAGGAUGUGUUUGGUUCAUGGGCAUCCAAAUUAGGGAAUGAGCAUCUUAUAUCCACAUAUAAGAUUACUAGUGCACAUAACUUGAAAAGUUUUAGUU